UUUAGAGUAAAGCUAAAAGUUCAAAGGUAACAGAUACAUGCGAAAGGUACAAAAGAUGUAAGCCUGAGGGUACCACCCCAGCAACAAAUAAAAGUACAGGUUAGAACCUUUUUUUGAAAUUUCGAAAUGAAUAUGUCAGAUUCAGUUUAUUGUUGUAGUUCACACUGAUAACAAAAGUAGGCUCAGAAGAACAUCAUUAAAGUCAACUGUGGACCUCAAGAGUUACCAAAGUUCCCCAGGUAGACAAACUUGCUGAUACGACCUUAACUAGUUUCCUUUGAAGGUCACCUAGGUUUGCAGUGUGGUGGAAAUUUUGACAAACACCAAUAGACUCGUCCUCUCAGAUGAAGAAGAGAGUGCUCUGCGUGUUUUGUCUCUCACACACUAUAUAUACAGAAGGUGUUGACAUCUCUAAAGAUAAUAUGUUUGUGUCAGCACAAGUUCAACAUGAGUUCAAACGGAGUUCAGAACAUUCUGUACUUCCCUAGGCUAGAUAACAUGGUCUGAUAGACAAGGACAGAAACAGAGAUGAGUCUUUUAAGAAAUAAAAAUACAAGGACUUAACAAAUUUCUCUCACAGCAGACAGCAUUCAACUGAGCAAGAAAACACACUACACACUGAUGCGCGCUCUUAUCCGCGUGCUGCAAGUGGCCGUUUGUGUGCUACACAUCAGCUGCACUAUUUCUCAUUUUUCCUAUUCUCACAAACCUGGGUCAUUACGAAGCCCUCAGGAGUGGAGCUGCAACUCACUGAUGGGGGUUGUACACACUCCUGAGCUGUGAGCGAAAGGUGAGACAAGGACGUGUUAAUAACAGUACUGAAACACCAUGGAGGGACGGUCUGCACAGUUUAUACUUCUACCUCAAUACUCAGAAAUAGUUUUUUUUUUUUUUUUUUCAUUUUGGACAUUUUACAGAUUAAAAUGAUUUGGCUAUUUGUUUGUUUUUAGGUAAAAUGGGACACUUCUGAUGUACACAAAAAAACAGACAUGAAACAAGACAGCAGCAUUGAUUUUUAAGAAAUGUUUGAAUAUCUUGCUGAUGCUGAUCUUUAAAUACCGAGGUAUGUUUAAGUCUGAUCUUCAUGAAACGACGAAUCAAAUCAAAUCAGCGUGCUUGGAACGAAGCUAAUAGCAAAAUACGAAUUUUAUGCUAGCAAUGUGAAUUCUGUGAAUUGCUAAUCUUUUUCAUCAUUUGCACAAUAGUCAGAGGACCAAGAAUGUAAUGAAUUAUAUUUUGAACCUGAAACUUCACUUUUCACAGUUCCUCAGGGGUUCUUUGGAUGAUUAAGGGUUCAAAACCUUCUAAAAGUGUUCAUGGGUUUGUAAAUGUAACUUUUUUUUAACAGUGUGUGGGUGGUUUUCAAUAAGAAAAACACCCGCAUGAAUAUUUUAAGCCAGUGUGAAAUCAUGACGGUAAUUUAAGAAAAUCCCUGGAGUUAUUCUUUAAACACCCGAUUUGGUGCGUAAUUAAAUUCCAGGGUUGCGUUUGGUGUGUUAUAUGAUGUUAAAUCUUUCAUUUCUUGCAGGAAUACACAGUGUUCAUGCCAAAUGCAUGCCUUUUGUUGACAUAUCGAGAAUGAGCCAGUGUUUUUCAUAUCGUUUUGUAAUCGCAGUGUUCACUUGUGAGGAUUUUUUGCUAAAUGGUUUACACACAGUUACUGCUUUUUUUCUUCUUCAGUACAACUGCAUUUGUAUUACGACGUUGAAAUAAAC
ensembl:lncRNA